GCAAGUCGUACGAGAGUUUUUAACUCUAGUGGCGGACGGGUGAGUAACACGUAAGAAUUUGCCUUUAGGAGGGGGACAACAACUGGAAACGGUUGCUAAUACCCCAUAUGCUUUCGAGUGAAAUGGAUUUCCGCCUAAAGAGAAGCUUGCGGCUGAUUAGCUUGUUGGUAGGGUAAUGGCCUACCAAGGCGACGAUCAGUAUCUGGUUUGAGAGGACGAUCAGACACACUGGAACUGAGACACGGUCCAGACUCCUACGGGAGGCAGCAGUAGGGAAUUUUCCGCAAUGGGCGAAAGCCUGACGGAGCAAUACCGCGUGAGGGAUGACUGCCUAUGGGUUGUAAACCUCUUUUUUCAGGGAGGAAUAAAUGACGUGUACCUGAAGAAUAAGCAUCGGCUAACUCCGUGCCAGCAGCCGCGGUAAGACGGAGGAUGCAAGUGUUAUCCGGAAUCACUGGGCGUAAAGCGUCUGUAGGUGGCUCGACAAGUCAACUGUUAAAUCUUGAAGCUCAACUUCGAAAUCGCAGUCGAAACUAUCGAACUAGAGUAUAGUAGAGGUAAAGGGAAUUUCCAGUGGAGCGGUGAAAUGCGUAGAGACUGGAAAGAACACCGAUGGCGAAGGCACUUUACUGGGCUAUUACUGACACUCAGAGACGAAAGCUAGGGUAGCAAAUGGGAUUAGAUACCCCAGUAGUCCUAGCCGUAAACAAUGGAUACUAGGUGUUGAACAGAUCGACCUGUGCAGUACCAAAGCUAACGCGUUAAGUAUCCCGCCUGGGAAGUAUGCACGCAAGUGUGAAACUCAAAGGAAUUGACGGGGGCCCGCACAAGCGGUGGAGCAUGUGGUUUAAUUCGAUGCAACGCGAAGAACCUUACCAGGGUUUGACAUGAUACGGAUUUCUUUGAAAGAAGAAAGUGCCUUUUGGAACGUAUA
rnacentral:rRNA from 1 species